rnacentral:rRNA from 1 species
AGGAUGAACGCUGGCGGUCUGCUUAACACAUGCAAGUCGAACGGAGUACCUCGGUACUUAGUGGCGGACGGGUGAGUAACGCGUGAGAAUCUGCCCUUAGGUCGGGGACAACCAUUGGAAACGAUGGCUAAUACCGGAUAAGCCGAGAGGUAAAAGAUUAAUUGCCUAGGGAAGAGCUCGCGUCUGAUUAGCUAGUUGGUGAGGUAAAGGCUCACCAAGGCAUCGAUCAGUAGCUGGUCUGAGAGGAUGAUCAGCCACACUGGGAUUGAGAACGGCCCAGACUCCUACGGGGGGCAGCAGUGAGGAAUUUUCCGCAAUGGAGGCAACUCUGACGGAGCAACGCCGCGUGCAGGAGGAAGGUUUUCGGAUCGUAAACUGCUUUUCUCGGGGACGAGCAAGGACGGUACCCGAGGAGAAGCCCGGCUAACUACGUGCCAGCAGCCGC